GACGAACGCUGGCGGCGUGCCUAAUACAUGCAAGUCGAACGAGUGGCGGACGGUUGAGUAACACGUGGGAACCUACCCAUCAGCGGGGGAUAACUACUGGAAACGGUGUCUAAUACCGCAUACUGUCGAUGGGACCACUAUGGGAUUAGCUAGUAGGUGGGGUAAAGGCUCACAUAGGCGACGAUCUCUAGCUGGUCUGAGAGGAUGACCAGCCACACUGGGACUGAGACACGGCCCAGACUCCUACGGGAGGUAGCAGUGGGGAAUAUUGCACAAUGGGCGCAAGCCUGAUGCAGCCAUGCCGCGUGUAUGAAGAAGGCCUUAGGGUUGUAAAGUACUUUCAGCGGGGAGGCGUUACCCGCAGAAGAAGCACCGGCUAACUCCGUGCCAGCCGCCGCGGUAAUAC
rnacentral:rRNA from 1 species